GGAAUCUUCCACAAUGGACGCAAGUCUGAUGGAGCAACGCCGCGUGAGUGAAGAAGGUCUUCGGAUCGUAAAACUCUGUUGUUAGAGAAGAACACGAGUGAGAGUAACUGUUCAUUCGAUGACGGUAUCUAACUAGCAAGUCACGGCUAACUACGUGCCAG
rnacentral:rRNA from 1 species